UCUGGUGAUUAUUCCGGAGGGGUUCCACCCGUUUCCAUCUCGAACACGGAAGUUAAGACCUCCAGGGCUGAUGAUACUUGGACCGCAGGGUCCUGGGAAAGUAAGUCGUUGCCAGAU
rfam:Desulfitobacterium dichloroeliminans LMG P-21439, complete genome.